rnacentral:rRNA from 1 species
UACGGAGGGGGCUAGCGUUGUUCGGAAUUAUUGGGCGUAAAGCGCGCGUAGGCGGAUCUGUAAGUUGGGGGUGAAAUCCCGAGGCUCAACCUCGGAACUGCCUUCGAUACUGCAGAUCUCGAGUCCGAGAGAGGUGAGUGGAAUUCCUAGUGUUGAGGUGAAGUUCGUAGAUAUUAGGAAGAACACCAGUGGCGAAGGCGGCUCACUGGCUCGGUACUGACGCUGAGGCGCGAAAGCGUGGGGAUCAAACCGG